AAUCUAAGGUAAAACAUAAAAAGUGGUGUAAAGUAAGUGGCAAAAACAAUAACACAGAACUCUUUCAAGCCCCUGUAAUUGGAAUAAGUCCACUUUAAAUCCUUCAACAAGGAUCCAUUGGAGGGUAAGUCUGGUGCCAGCAGAUGCAGUAAUUCCAGCUCUUUUAGCGUAUAUUAAAGUUGCUGCAGUUAAAAAGCUUGUAGUUGGGUCUUGGAAGUGGGUGGGCUGGCAGGUCCAUGGCCAGGCGAGCCACCUCCCAUCCCUGCCCCUUUCCUCUUGGUGUCCCCUUGUUGCUCUUAGCUGAGUGCCCCUCAGGGCCUGAUGCAUUUAUUUUGAAAAAAUUGGAAUGUUCAAAGCUGGUUCGGCUGAUCACGUGCUCCUUGCCCCACCCUAGGGGUGGCGAUGACCCAUUCGAAUAUCUGCCGUAUAAAUUUUUGAUGAUAA
rnacentral:ncRNA from 1 species